UACGGAAGGUCCGGGCGUUAUCCGGAUUUAUUGGGUUUAAAGGGAGUGUAGGCGGCCCGUUAAGCGUGUUGUGAAAUGCGGAUGCUCAACAUCCGCACUGCAGCGCGAACUGGGGGGCUUGAGUGCACGCAACGUAGGCGGAAUUCAUGGUGUAGCGGUGAAAUGCUUAGAUAUCAUGAGGAACUCCGAUCGCGAAGGCAGCUUACGGGAGUGCGACUGACGCUUAAGCUCGAAGGUGCGGGUAU
rnacentral:rRNA from 1 species